AGCCAAGUCGCGUGAGGGAUGAAGGUUCUAUGGAUCGUAAACCUCUUUUAUAAGGGAAUAAAGUGUGGGACGUGUCCUAUUUUGUAUGUACCUUAUGAAUAAGGAUCGGCUAACUCCGUGCCAGCAGCCGCGGUAAUACGGAGGAUCCGAGCGUUAUCCGGAUUUAUUGGGUUUAAAGGGUGCGUAGGCGGCCUUUUAAGUCAGCGGUGAAAGUCUGUGGCUCAACCAUAGAAUUGCCGUUGAAACUGGGGGGCUUGAGUAUGUUUGAGGCAGGCGGAAUGCGUGGUGUAGCGGUGAAAUGCUUAGAUAUCACGCAGAACCCCGAUUGCGAAGGCAGCCUGCCAAGCCAUGACUGACGCUGAUGCACGAAAGCGUGGGGAUCAAACAGGAUUAGAUACCCUGGUAGUCCACG
rnacentral:rRNA from 1 species